rnacentral:lncRNA from 1 species
CGAGCUCAUCAAGAUCGGCGAGGAUGGCGUGUACGCGCUUCGGAACCUCGGCAACAACUACUUCUGCCACCGGCUGACCUACGAGGGCAAGGAGGACUGCCUGAACGCCAUGAUUCCGACCAUCAGGAAGGAGGCGUACCUCAAGAUUGAAGAAGCCGUCCUCUCCCGGAAGAUCUCCAACAUCGAGUACCACCUCAAGGGCGCCAAGAUUUUCGACAAGAAGGCUAAGACCCUCAUCACUCGAGAGGCGGUGAACGGCACCAGCACGGAUAGCAAGACCACCAUCACCCUCAAGUACAGCGUCAUCAAGGGCAAGCUAUGGGAUUCCAGCAAGUCCAUGAAGCUGGGGGUCACCACCACCAUUGAAGCUGGGGUUCCUGUGGUCUUACCCGCAACCAUUGAGGUCCAGAGCGAGUUCAACUCCACCUACAGCUGGGGCGAGUCCAUCAUCGAGAAAGAAGAGUACUCCAACGCCUACGAGGUCGUUGUGCCUGCAUACUCCGUCGUCACGGUCAGCGUGCUCGCUACAC